GUGACAUCGUCUUUAAACCCUGCGUGGCAAUCCCUGACGCACCGCCGUGAUGCCCAGGGAAGACAGGGCGACCUGGAAGUCCAACUACUUCCUUAAGAUCAUCCAACUAUUGGAUGAUUAUCCGAAAUGUUUCAUCGUGGGAGCAGACAAUGUGGGCUCCAAGCAGAUGCAGCAGAUCCGCAUGUCCCUUCGCGGGAAGGCCGUGGUGCUGAUGGGCAAGAACACCAUGAUGCGCAAGGCCAUCCGAGGGCACCUGGAAAACAACCCAGCUCUGGAGAAACUGCUGCCUCAUAUCCGGGGGAAUGUGGGCUUUGUGUUCACCAAGGAGGACCUCACUGAGAUCAGGGACAUGUUGCUGGCCAAUAAGGUAAGGGGACAAUUGGGUUGGCUAAAGAGACUUUGUAGUUGCUCCUUAAAGCAAAAUGGACCAUUCUCAGGUUGUAUGAGUGGAGAGGCUUUUCUCACUGGUUGUUGUCUUUGUCAGGUGCCAGCUGCUGCCCGUGCUGGUGCCAUUGCCCCAUGUGAAGUCACUGUGCCAGCCCAGAACACUGGUCUCGGGCCCGAGAAGACCUCCUUUUUCCAGGCUUUAGGUAUCACCACUAAAAUCUCCAGGGGCACCAUUGAAAUCCUGGUGAGUGGACCUGGUUUGCCUGUGCUAGACAGGCAAAUGGGGAGCUGCUUUUAGUGGCCAUGGAUCUGCUGGUUGUCCAACAGGUGUUUACUGCCCCACUAUUAUCUUGUUCAGAGUGAUGUGCAGCUGAUCAAGACUGGAGACAAAGUGGGAGCCAGCGAAGCCACACUGCUGAACAUGCUCAACAUCUCCCCCUUCUCCUUUGGGCUGGUCAUCCAGCAGGUGUUCGACAAUGGCAGCAUCUACAACCCUGAAGUGCUUGAUAUCACAGAGGAAACUCUGCAUUCUCGCUUCCUGGAGGUACAUGCUCUCAGCCUUGCCCCCUCUUACACUGAUGGUUGAGAGCAUGACAAGGUUCAGACUGAGUCCCUGUAACCAAGGACUGUGUUUUCAUCUGUCUACCUACCUCAUCUGUAAAAUGUCAAUAACAACAUAAGUUUGUUGAAGGAAUUUUUUUUUUUUUUUUUUGAGACACUUUUGCUCUGUUGCCCAGG
rnacentral:sRNA from 1 species